rnacentral:rRNA from 1 species
AGUCACGCUGUAAACGAUGUCGAUUUGGAGGUUGUUCCCUUGAGGAGUGGCUUCCGGAGCUAACGCGUUAAAUCGACCGCUGGGGAGUACGGCCGCAAGGUUAAAACCCAAAUGAAUUGACGGGGGCCCGCACAAGCGGUGGAGCAUGUGGUUUAAUUCGAUGCAACGCGAAGAACCUUACCUACUCUUGACAUCCAGAGAAUUUAGCAGAGAUGCUUUAGUGCCUUCGGGAACUCUGAGACAGGUGCUGCAUGGCUGUCGUCAGCUCGUGUUGUGAAAUGUUGGGUUAAGUCCCGCAACGAGCGCAACCCUUAUCCUUUGUUGCCAGCACGUUAUGGUGGGAACUCAAAGGAGACUGCCGGUGAUAAACCGGAGGAAGGUGGGGAUGACGUCAAGUCAUCAUGGCCCUUACGAGUAGGGCUACACACGUGCUACAAUGGCGUAUACAAAGAGAAGCGACCUCGCGAGAGCAAGCGGAACUCAUAAAGUACGUCGUAGUCCGGAUUGGAGUCUGCAACUCGACUCCAUGAAGUCGGAAUCGCUAGUAAUCGUAGAUCAGAAUGCUACGGUGAAUACGUUCCCGGGCCUUGUACACACCGCCCGUCACACCAUGGGAGUGGGUUGCAAAAGAAGUAGGUAGCUUAACCUUCGGGAGGGCGCUUACCACUUUGUGAUUCAUGACUGGGGUGAAGUCGUAACAAGGUAACCA